CCUACGGGAGGCAGCAGUGAGGAAUAUUGGGCAAUGGAGGCAACUCUGACCCAGCCAUGCCGCGUGAGUGAAGAAGGUUUUCGGAUUGUAAAGCUCUUUCGGCUGUGACGAUGAUGACGGUAGCAUCUAAAGAAGCCCCGGCUAACUUCGUGCCAGCAGCCGCGGUAAUACGAAGGGGGCAAGCGUUGUUCGGAAUUACUGGGCGUAAAGGGAGUGUAGGCGGUUUAGUAAGAUAGUGGUGAAAUCCCAGAGCUUAACUUUGGAAUUGCAAUUAUAACUAUUAGACUAGAAUGACAGAGAGGAGAGUGGAAUACCCAGUGUAGAGGUGAAAUGCGUAGAUAUUGGGUAGAACACCAGUGGCGAAGGCGACUAUCUGGCUGGACAGUGACGCUGAGGCUCGAAAGCAUGGGGGUCAAACAGGAUUAGAUACCCGAGUAGUC
rnacentral:rRNA from 1 species